AAAAAAGAAGCGAUAUUUUGCAAUCAGUUUCGGCCUGAUCCUAGGGUAACCCUUUUUUA
rnacentral:tRNA from 2 species